AACGAACGCUGGCGGCAGGCCUAAUACAUGCAAGUCGAGCGCGCCCUUCGGGGUGAGCGGCGGACGGGUGAGUAACGCGUGGGAAUUUGCCUCUUGGUACGGGAUAACGUUUGGAAACGAACGCUAAUACCGUAUGUGAUCUACGGAUUAAAGAUUUAUCGCCAAGAGAGAAGCCCGCGUAGGAUUAGGUAGUUGGUGGGGUAAUGGCCCACCAAGCCAACGAUCUUUAGCUGGUCUGAGAGGACGAUCAGCCACACUGGAACUGAGACACGGUCCAG
rnacentral:rRNA from 1 species